rnacentral:rRNA from 1 species
AAUGAACGCUGGCGGCGCGCCUAAUACAUGCAAGUCGAGCGAGAAGACGUAGCAAUACGUUUGUAAAGCGGCGAACGGGUGAGGAAUACAUGGGUAACCUACCCUAGAGUGGGGAAUAACUAGCCGAAAGGUUAGCUAAUACCGCGUACGCUCCUUGGACUUCGGUUCAGGGAGGAAAGCGAUGCCGAGGGUAUCGCGCUCUUGGAUGGGCUCAUGUCCUAUCAGCUUGUUGGGAGGUAACGGCUCACCAAGGCUUCGACGGGUAGCUGGUCUGAGAGGACGAUCAGCCACACUGGCACUGCGACACGGGCCAGACUCCUACGGGAGGCAGCAGUAAGGAAUAUUGCGCAAAUGGGCGAAAGCCUGACGCAGCGACGCCGC